CCUACGGGAGGCAGCAGUGAGGAAUAUUGGUGAAUGGACGAGAGUCUGAACCAGCCAAGUAGCGUGAAGGAUGACUGCCCUAUGGGUUGUAAACUUCUUUUAUAUGGGAAUAAAACGUUCCACGUGUGGGAGUUUGUAUGUACCCUAAGUAUAAGGAACCGCGAACGCCGUGCCAGCAGCCGCGGUAAUACGGAGGAUCCGAGCGUUAUCCGGAUUUAGUGGGUUUAAAGGGAGCGUAGGUGGAUUGUUAAGUCAGUUGUGAAAUUUUGGGGCUCAACCGUAAAAUUGCAGUUGAAACUGGCAGUCUUGAGUACAGUAGAGGUGAGCGGAAUUCGUGGUGUAGCGGUGAAAUGCUUAGAUAUCACGAAGAACUCCGAUUGCGAAGGCAGUUCACUGGACUGCAACUGACACUGAGGCUCGAAAGUGUGGGUAUCAAACAGGAUUAGAUACCCCUGUAGUC
rnacentral:rRNA from 1 species